rnacentral:rRNA from 1 species
UACGGAGGAUGCAAGCGUUAUCCGGAUUUAUUGGGUUUAAAGGGUGCGCAGGUUGUUUGAUAAGUCAGUGGUGAAAGUCUGUCACUUAACGGUAGGAUUGCCAUUGAUACUGUUAGACUUGAAUAUGGAUGAGGUAGGCGGAAUGUGUAGUGUAGCGGUGAAAUGCAUAGAUAUUACACAGAACACCGAUUGCGAAGGCAGCUUACUAAUCCAUCAUUGACGCUGAGGCACGAAAGCGUGGGGAUCAAACA